rnacentral:rRNA from 1 species
GACCCCAGGUCAGGUAGGGUCACCUGCUGAGUUUA